rnacentral:rRNA from 1 species
AUGUUUCAGGAACAUAGCAGAUGUUGCCACGCACCGGCAUUCAACAUGUCCUUUGAAACUCACCAAGUUUGCAGCAAGCAUGCCCCUUUAGCAUGCCGUUCGAAACUCACUAAAGUUGCAGCAACCACGCCCCGGCCUUGCAGCACGGCAUCUUGGUGCCUGUCGGAGUUGCGAUGCCGGCUACACACUUCCUUGCAGCACGCUGUUCUGGUGCUUGCUGGAGCUGCUAUGUCAGCCUGCAGCAGCCACACCUCUGCCCUUGCAGCACACCGCCUGGAGCUCGCCGGAUUUGGGAUGCCGGCUUAA